UUCGUUUUUCUGUUUUGCCUCCAUGCUUCUUUCAUUUGUCUCCAAGCUUCUUUCAUUUGUCUCAGUGUUAAAAAACCUAGGGUUUUAGGAAGAAGAGCGAGGAGUGUGACGACGACACCAUCCAUCUCUACGACCUCUCCACCGCCUCCUCCCUCAGUUCCCUUCACCAACACUCUGCCUUUGUCACCGCCUUCUCCUUCUACGCCCCUACCAAUAUUUCGUUCCCCCGCAACCUCAUCUCCGCCAACGUCGCUGGCUCUCUCACCAUUUUUUACGCGGACGGCUUCGUCCAUCUUACUACGCUUUUCUUCCACUACCACGGCGCUAUCAACGACCUUGCCCUGAACCGUUCGGUGAGUGCGCCCUCACCGUUGCUUGUGACAACUGCCUCGCCAUCAUCAACCUCGUCCGCGGUCGCCGCAACUGCUUCUUGCGCCUCGACAAGGAAGCUACUCUGGUCAAGUUUAAUGUGUCCGGCGACCACUUUUUUAUGCAAAGAAGAAGGUUUCUGUCCACCACUUUUUGUUAAGUUUUAUGGGAUUCUUGUGAUGCAUCUUUAGGAGAUCUUCAUUGUGCUACCGGUGUUGCGUUUAGGGGGUGUUGCAUUUAGGGAAGAUUCAGAGGGCUUUUAAGGUAUGUUUUGUUUUAUGUGUUUGGUGAUUGAGAAUAUUAUUGAAUGAGUCGCAAAUGCAAGAUCACAGGUACAAAAUGGUAGAGCAAAAUCUUAUCAGUGAGAAGGUGUUUUCCUUUUUGUUGAAUGGGUAUCCAAAUGCGAAAAAAGGUGGUGAAAUGGUUUUCGGUGGUGUUAACCUAAAGCACUUUAAAGGAGACCACACUUAUAUUCCAGUUACUAAAAAAGGUUACUGGUAGAUUGAAAUUGGAGAGUUUUUCAUUGGAGGUGCUUCUACAGGUGUUUGUGAGGGUGGUUGUGCUGCUAUUGUGGAUUCAGGAACAUCUUUGCUUGCUGGUCCAACCUUAUGUGCUUCGAUAGUUAUUAUACCUUAGGCUGCACUGCUAUCCUUGGGAUUUUAUAGACCCUAAUUUUUCUAAUGUUUUGUUUUCCUAUAUUAUUUGAUGCUUUGCUAACUGAAUUUUCUCUCUUCUUUUUUAUUUAUAUAGCUGGAAAAUUAUUCAAAAAUUGAAGAGGCUAAAAUAGAGGAGCUCAUGAAGGCAGUAGCAGAUUCUAGUGCCAAAGUGAUUGUUAAUGGAGGAGUAGUUGGAGAGAUGGCUUUGCAUUUCUGUGACCGUUAAGAGCUUAUGGUUCUGAAAAUCAGCUCAAAGUUUGAACUAUGACGAUUUUGCAGAACAACUGGUUCUAUUGCUAUGUUGAAACUCAGCCAACCGAAUGCAAAUGAUCUUGGAUAUGUGGAUUCUGUUUCAGUUCAGGAAAUUAGUGGUGUCAGGAUUCGUUUGCCAUGGGAGUUUAUAGAUUCAUUUGACUUGGCGUGGAGAUGGAAACAGCAGCAAUGGCAGAGGAGGCACAAGCAGAAGCCAUUAACCCUUGAUUCAAAAUAUAAAUUUUUUGUUCAAGACGAGAAUGAAGGCUGGGAGUGAAAGUGCUGGUACUGGCUGCCUCACUUUUUCAUAUCCAAAGAAACUUGAUAAUGAGGUGGAAGGAAAUACAUUCCAAAAAAACAGUGACUUUGACGAAGUCUGAGUAUCAGCUUGAUCUGUUGUCAAGUACUCCAAUUCUGUUUGUGAAUAUUUGUAUAGAUAAAUUAGUUACAAAAAUGUAAUGUUCUCAUUCUUUUCUGUUCAUAAAUUUUGAGUGUAAUUGUUCACUCUUGAAGAUGGAAGUGGUUUGAGAUAUCCAUGUAAUGAAUAAAUGAUGAUGCUAACAUGUCAUCCAUGUCAUGUCAGUUUAAACAA